rnacentral:pre_miRNA from 1 species
UUUAAAAUAGAAGCAUGUCCCAUGCAGUAUUUGGAACAUACAUAUAUUAAAA